UAAAGUGGCGAACGGCUGAGUAACACGUGGGCAACCUGCCCUUUGCACUGGGAUAGCCUCGGGAAACCGAGGUUAAUACCGGAUACUCCAUAUUUGUCGCAUGGCGAAUAUGGGAAAGCUCCGGCGGCAAAGGAUGGGCCCGCGGCCUGUUAGCUAGUUGGUGGGGUAGUGGCCUACCAAGGCAAUGAUGGGUAGCCGGGUUGAUAGACCGACCGGCCAGAUUGGGACUGAGACACGGCCCAGACUCCUACGGGAGGCAGCAGCC
rnacentral:rRNA from 1 species